UUUUUCUUUAACUUCUUCCCUUCCUUUUUAUUUCUCUGUCAUGUAUCAUGUGUGUUGCAAUUUUCUUCCUUCUUUGUCACGUCUCAUGUCGUUUGGGAUGCAGUUGUCCUCAAAGCAAUUUUCUUCCUUUAUUUCUCUGUCACGUCGGUCCUUAACCUGGGCUCAUUGAUUUUCAAGUUAGCUCCUUAAUACCGAGAAAAUCAAAGACAUAUAUGAAUUGGAGAAAUUGUGUGUAAGAAACCGAGGCGGGACUAUUGUAGAACAAUCUUUGCUUGCAGCCGAGGUGGGCUAGCUCGAUCGGUUUUAAUAAUUUUAGAAGGUGAAAGGAUUAGAAAUUUAGAGAAAUGCAUCUUGCUUUAUUAGUAGGUAAUAGAUGUAGAUGUGUCUGCUACUCCUAAGAUAGUUGUUUAAAUCUGAUCUGUUGUUUCUAGAAUAUGUGGAUGACUGAAUCAUGUCAAGAUUUGGCCUCGUGUAUGCUAUCUUCUAUUUCUAACCAUAGAACACCGAGGUAUCUUUGGAAAGGAAAUAACAUGAUGAGCAUUGAACCUGACUGUGAGUGAAUAACCACCACCCCCUAACUAAAAAAANNNNNNNNNNCGAGGCGGGACUAUUGUAGAACAAUCUUUGCUUGCAGCCGAGGUGGGCUAGCU
rnacentral:lncRNA from 1 species